AACGUGCGCUCGGUAAGCGUCGGACGAUUCAUAAAAUAAUACUUUUUAAAAAUCAAACGGUUUAGCCGCAAACUUCCGUGCCGUAUAGCGUGAAUAACCCUGUAUAUGCCAUUACUCCUAAAACGGCUCGAACUGUUUUCAGUUAAUUCUGCGCUGAUUCGACGAUCGCCCAACAUGCAAAUAUAGCAUCAGUCGUUUUGCGCCGGAAAAACAUCAGCGAAAAAACAAGCGAGCGUCGAUAUCCAAGAACGCACAGCGUCGUAUCGGCUGCGGCCGGAAAAAUGUUGCAGUGAAGGGGCGGAAUCAUCCAGUGGAUCCCACCAGGAAAUUUACUUUUAUAGCGAGCCAUUGAUUCAUAACCGAACGGAUCAGAGCUCGGGCUUCCGCAGUGAGCAGUGCGUGUGUCUCAAAGAAAAGGCCACCUUUGUUAAGGUGAAAACUGGCGCUGUUUACGUGUACUAUGCAAAGAACGCUACCACCAACAUGGUUUCAAACAACUUGUAAAGUAUUUCUAAAGCCAGGGUUUUUAUAUUGUCGGUAUCUGAAAUAAAUAAUCAUAAUGUGUUUA